AAUAAACGCUGGCGGCGUGCCUAACACAUGCAAGUCGAGCGAGAAAGCUCCUUCGGGAGUGAGUACAGCGGCGAACGGGUGAGCAACGCGUGGGAAUCUACCCUUCAGUGAAGAAUACCCUUGAGAAAUCGAGGUUAAUACUGCAUACGUCCGUGAGGAGAAAGAUCUAUCGCCCUUAGACGGGCCCGCGUCGGAUUAGCUAGUUGGUGGGGUAACGGCCUACCAAGGCGACGAUCCGUAGCUGAUCUUAGAGGAUGAUCAGCCACACUGGGACUGAGACACGGCCCAGACUCCUACGGGAGGCAGCAGUGGGGAAUUUUGGACAAUGGGCGCAAGCCUGAUCCAGCCAUUCCGCGUGCAGGAUGAAGGCCCUCGGGUUGUAAACUGCUUUUGUACGGAACGAAAAGGCUCUGGUUAAUACCCGGGGCUCAUGACGGUACCGUAAGAAUAAGCACCGGCUAACUACGUGCCAGCAGCCGCGGUAA
rnacentral:rRNA from 1 species